GCUGGUGGUUUAAUUUUGUAUUGCAGGCCCAACUAUCCUCUUUUUUCAGGAAAAUGCUGGAAAUAUUGCCCAUCGUCUUGAAAUGGUCCGCAUAUUGUUACAACGAUUGAACUGCAAUGUUUUUAUGCUUUCAUACCGAGGAUAUGGUGCUAGUGAUGGAUACCCUUCUCAACAUGGAAUAACAUAG